rnacentral:tRNA from 1 species
GGUAAAAUGGCUGAGUGUUCAGGCGGCGGGCUGUAGACUCGCAUACAGGGGUUUAACUCCUCUUUUUAUCA